GCUUUUAAAGGAAAAUUAGCUCUUCCUCUGGUUUUAGGGUCCAGCACCUCUUGGUGCAAAUCCAAGUAAAAGCU
rnacentral:tRNA from 1 species